UACAGAGGUGUCAAACGUUGUCCGGAUUUAUUGGGCGUAAAGAGCGUGUAGGCGGCCAGGUAGGUCUGCUGUGAAAACUCGAGGCUCAACCUCGAGACGUCGGCGGAAACCAUCUGGCUAGAGUCCGGAAGAGGAGAGUGGAAUUCCUGGUGUAGCGGUGAAAUGCGCAGAUAUCAGGAAGAACACCCGUGGCGAAGGCGGCUCUCUGGGACGGUACUGACGCUGAGACGCGAAAGCGUGGGGAGCGAACAGG
rnacentral:rRNA from 1 species